AUCCUGGCUCAGGAUGAACGCUGGCGGCGUGCUUAACACAUGCAAGUCGAGCGGAAAGGCCCUUCGGGGGUACUCGAGCGGCGAACGGGUGAGUAACACGUGAGUAACCUGCCCCUGACUCUGGGAUAAGCCUGGGAAACCGGGUCUAAUACCGGAUACGACCAUUUCUCGCAUGUGAUGGUGGUGGAAAGUUUUUUCGGUUGGGGAUGGGCUCGCGGCCUAUCAGCUUGUUGGUGGGGUGAUGGCCUACCAAGGCGACGACGGGUAGCCGGCCUGAGAGGGCGACCGGCCACACUGGGACUGAGACACGGCCCAGACUCCUACGGGAGGCAGCAGUGGGGAAUAUUGCGCAAUGGGCGGAAGCCUGACGCAGCGACGCCGCGUGGGGGAUGACGGCCUUCGGGUUGUAAACCUCUUUCAGCAGGGACGAAGUUGACGUGUACCUGUAGAAGAAGCGCCGGCUAACUACGUGCCAGCAGCCGCGGUAAUACGUAGGGCGCAAGCGUUGUCCGGAAUUAUUGGGCGUAAAGAGCUCGUAGGUGGCUUGUCGCGUCUGCCGUGAAAGCCCGUGGCUUAACUACGGGUCUGCGGUGGAUACGGGCAGGCUAGAGGCUGGUAGGGGCAAGCGGAAUUCCUGGUGUAGCGGUGAAAUGCGCAGAUAUCAGGAGGAACACCGGUGGCGAAGGCGGCUCGCUGGGC
rnacentral:rRNA from 1 species